rnacentral:tRNA from 1 species
GGCCUAGUAUAGUACUAAAUUGCAAGUUUGGUUUGGAAAUAAAGUUUCAUAGGCCUA